CGGAGAUGGCGAGAGGACGACCAAGGAAAAUUCUAGUACAUGAGCAGACUAAAGGAAGAGUAAUACUAGAAAAGUGGGAAUAAUCAGAUCCAACCACUACUAAAAAUUAUCCUUAUUGCAACGAACUUUUUGGUAACAGUUCCAAAAACAUUGUAAUAGACCCUCUAUUAUAACGGUUACAAUCAUUACAAAAAAAAAUUAUCCUGUUAAAAUUAAUUUGUGAUAUAACUAUUGAUAUUGUUGAAGAACCGUUGCAAUAGAGUAUAUUAUAGCAACAGUUUCAUGAACGCUUUAUUUGAAAAAAGAUAAUAUUGCAACGCUUUUAUUUAUUUUCCUCCCCAAAAUUUCACUAAGUGCGCCAAAAAAACAGUGUCCCCAAUUUCACUGAUAUUUCAUUGAGCUCCGACCCAAUUUCACUAUGUUCCGACUGUAUUUCUCUGAGCUCCGAUCGAAUUUCACUGUGCUUCGGCCGAUUUCUCUCAAAUCGGCCAUUGUACAACUGCUCCGACCACUGUUCAGGAGCUGACGUUUGUGUAAAGCGAUGGCCGCUGCUGACAAUUGCUAUUAAGAUGAAUUUGGGUUUAGCGACAUCCUGUGGGUAUGGAGUGGUAGGCGUGAUGUCCAUUGUUGGGUUUGUGAUAGAAAACCAAGAAGAUCAUCCCCCUCUCAUUUCUAAAACAAACUUUGAUAAGGUGCUUGCUCGUCAGCGACCAACAGUUAGUAAGUUAGACCUUGAUGUGCAUGAAAGAUUCACCAAGGAGUUUGGAGAAGAAGGUUGAAGAAAAACUGAUGACCAUGGUCACGUCCAUUCAUGCAGUUGCCAUGAUUUGUAUGUUACUUUUGUUUUGCCAGAAAAACACACUAAUCUGUUCAAGUGCCAUUUUUAAAAUUGGAAAGUUGACGUUAUUUACCCUUUCCUUCUGGGGGUGUCAGUUUUACAUUUCAUGUAGUUAUCAUUUUCCGUUCUGCAAAUCUUAUCGCAACCAAUUGAGCAACUACAAGAACCAAUUUUUAUGUGAUUUCCUCUCUUCUUUAUGUUCAUAGUUAUUUUGCAAAAUCUGAACUUGCCUUUUUUUAUGAAUGUCAUUAUACUUAGGAUCCAACUUUUCAUAUGGUUGAUUUAUCAAAGGUGAUCUUAGCUAGAUAAGCUUUAUAUGACAAAAAAUUUUCCAAGUACAACCUGCAUUAACCUGCGUGCUUUUCGUAUGACUUAUCGAUGAUAAGUGAUAGAGAAUAAGGGCCUUCAGUUUUUUCUCAUAUAUUAAAUUUGAAUAAGCGCCUUUAGUUUCCGUUAUCGUGGUUCUAUUUUUCAUUUUUUGGGCCAGGGUCUUCGUAGAUGCAUCGAAGAAAUUGUUUUUUCUUUUACCUAUCAAAGGCUUGAUAAGGAAGUUUGUGCUAUUUCCAAUUUUCCACCUAUUUGGAGCCUUAGAACAACUUAUAUGGAGUGUAACAUUACUUUUAAAACCCAGAGGAAUAAAAAGUCUGGAGAGAAACAAGUACAAUAGGACUUGAUUAUAUUCCUUACAUGUUUUAAUGCAUAAAUUCCAACUGAAGGUUUACUUUUUCAAUGUCUCAGGUCUCAAAGCACAGGAAUCACUUAUUGAAGGCUCAUUUCUGUGUGCACCCCAAAAUAAAUUCACUUCUUCUAUGCUUGAACCACAAUGCAUAACAAAGAUACUUGAAUUGUUGCAACUCCUUAUCAUUGGAUAUGCUUUCAUUUAUGGUCGAUGUAUUUUAACAGAAUUUACUCUUUUUGGCAGGCCUGGUUUGUAUUCCUAUUAAUCCCAAGAACUGCGAUGAAUUUGAUCCUUCUGCUGUUCCAACCCUUUCCCAGAUUUCGGGCUUCUUUGGAACUCAAGUGAGGCGUAAUCCAUCAUCCCGCUCUGUUCAUAGAGAUUCACAACAACACGGUGUGCUUUUUGUUUCCUUUACCUUCAUCAAUACUAUUUCAUUAAUUUGAAAUUAAAAUUUGAAUUUGUUUUAUUUGGGAAUCUAAUGAUAUGAUGCCUAUUUGGCUUCUGUUUCCUAUUGUAGUUGGAAAUUGGGCUUAAUCGCCAAUAAAGGAUAUGGCUAAUCAUUGAAAUGAUUAAGCAAAAUUGUUAUUUUGUUGAAAUAUAAUACUUGGCUGGUACCUGAAGAUAUUGGGAUUAGUUCUCUUGUUAUCUGUUUUAGUUUGAAAUUUGCUUAAAUCGUUUUUAUGGUCAGAAACGAUAUGUUAAGAGGUAUUAGCCUUUUGGAACAUAAUUUAACUGUUAUAUUAUUGAAAUUGCUUACCGUGGUGUGCCAGGGUCGGGGGUUCGAAACGCCCCUCCAGCGAAGCUGGGGUGAGGGUGCGUAGGUCAGGCCCGGAGUGGUCCCCCCCCUCCCCGACACCUACGGAGUAGGUAUGAACCGGGUCGUCGCAUUAUUGAAAUUGAUUAGUUUGUAAUAAAUUUUUCGAUAAUCAGAAACAGUCUCAGAAACCAAAAGGUACAGGAAAGGAUUACAAAGGUUCUUAUUAGCUUAGCCUGUUGGGUUUUAAGGUUAGAUCACAAUGAUUCUGCUAUUUAUUUGAUGGAAUACGUGUAGUAGUUUCAACCUAGCUAAUAAGUGUUUUCUGACUUUGUGUUGGAUUGAUUUGCUUGUUGGAUUUUGGUGCAAUUGUAAAGGCUGUUCCAAAUUCAGCAGUAAGGUUACCACUUACUGCAGAAAAUAUUGAGAGUGUGCUGGAUGAAAUUCGACUAUAUCUAAUUUUAGACAGAGGAAACGUUGUAUUGCAUGAAAUUGAUGGCAAUUAUUCGGCUCUCAACUGCCCAUGACAAGCUGAAGUUGAGAAGACAGCUCUUCAAGUUCUACAUUUUGCCAUAUAUAAUCAAGAACUGACUGAGAUGGAGAAAUGUGAGCAAGAAAGAGAAAAGGAAUUGAGGAAGAAUAGCAGCACUGACCAUGAUGCUGGCAGUAAUGUUUCAUCUCAUAAACGCAGAGCUGAGAGUGAUGCUGGUGAUGAACCAACUCAUCAUGAAGCUGGGGGAGUUGGGGGAGUUACUAACUAAAUUUUACAUGCUUCAGCUGCUAUCUGUUUUUUGUCUUGGGAAUAUUUUGUUUAUCUGCUACAGGUACGUUUUUUGGUAAGUGGUUUUCUGAUAACUGAAGUUUUCUCAUCAAGCAAACAAAAGUGUAUUGCAACUCCUUCACUAUUAAUUCCUUUGAUGAUCUAUCUAUAUGGUGUUAGUUCGUUUUAUCUAUUUCGAUGUUUCCUUCUAAUAUUAAUGUUUCUAAAGUGUUCAUUUGCAUUCUUCUGGUAAAGUGGCAGUGAAGUAAUGGAAACUGAUGAUACUCCUGCAGCUGAAAUCAGCAUAUCUCCCGAGACGUCUGUAUUGCAAGCAUUCAAUGAAGCACUUGGUAGGCACAGGAACUUACAACACGUGGAACAAAUUCUAGUUGCCGAUGUGGAGAGUGGUGUCAACAAUGGGGCGACUGUACCUUACUUAAAGGAGGAGAUAGAGAAAUUAUUACAGAUGAUGCAAGAGAACGACCAGUUGUGGAUACACAGUGAUACCAAUGUAGUUUACUUCAUGUAAACCUGUCCAGUUGGAGCUCCAAGUGCAGUUUGUCUCCUCUCUGAUAGAAUGUCCAAGCCUACGUAUAUGCGGGAUACUAGAAUGUCCAAGCCUACGUAUAUGCGGGAUACCAUCUGUCCAAGCCUACGUAUUAGUAGUAGUAUGACAUACCUCUAUUUAUCCCCCACUUUGACACUCAGUUGUAGAUCGAUGAAGCGUAUGAAUCUUACCUUUCCUGUUUUACUGAAACCAGAUGGGUACUGCAUUAUGUAUUUCAAUUUAUGAUGACCAUCAGCUAUUUAGCUUUAAAUAGAAGUUGUCUCCUUGAUAGAAAA